GAUGAACGCUGGCGGCGUGCCUAAUACAUGCAAGUCGAGCGAACGGACGAGAAGCUUGCUUCUCUGAUGUUAGCGGCGGACGGGUGAGUAACACGUGGAUAACCUACCUAUCAGACUGGGAUAACUUCGGGAAACCGGAGCUAAUACCGGAUAAUAUUUUGAACCGCAUGGUUCAUCAGUGAAAGACGGUCUUGCUGUAACUUAUAGAUGGAUCCGCGCUGCAUUAGCUAGUUGGUAAGGUAACGGCUUACCAAGGCAACGAUGCAUGGCCGACCUGAGAGGGUGAUCGGCCACACUGGAACGUGGCCACGGUCCAGACUCCUACGGGAGGCAGCAGAAGGGAAUCUUCCGCAAUGGGCGAAAGCCUGACGGAACAACGCCGCGUGAGUGGUGAAGGUCUUCGGAUCGUAAAACACUGUUAUUAGGGAAGAACAUAUGUGUAAGUAACUGUGCACAUCUUGACGGUACCUAAUCAGAAAGCCACGGCUAACUACGGG
rnacentral:rRNA from 1 species